CCCUUAGACGUUCUGGGCCGCACGCGCGCUACACUGACCAGUGCAACAAGCAUCCGUCCUUGUCCGACAGGCCCGGGCAAUCUUUGAACGCUGGUCGUGAUGGGGAUAGACUUUUGCAAUUUUUGGUCUUCAACGAGGAAUUCCUAGUAAACGCAAGUCAUCAACUUGCAUUGAUUACGUCCCUGCCCUUUGUACACACCGCCCGUCGCACCUACCGAUUGAAUGGUCCGGUGAAGCCUCCGGAUUGGCGCGCACCUCGGUGCCGCCGAGAAGUUGGCUAAACCUUACCAUUUAGAGGAAGGUGAAGUCGUANCA
rnacentral:rRNA from 1 species